rnacentral:rRNA from 1 species
GAUUAGAGUUUGAUCCUGGCUCAGAUUGAACGCUGGCGGCAUGCCUUACACAUGCAAGUCGAACGGCAGCACGGGAGCAAUCCUGGUGGCGAGUGGCGAACGGGUGAGUAAUAUAUCGGAACGUACCUUUCAGUGGGGGAUAACGUAGCGAAAGUUACGCUAAUACCGCAUAUUCUGUGAGCAGGAAAGCAGGGGAUCUUCGGACCUUGCGCUGAUUGAGCGGCCGAUAUCAGAUUAGCUAGUUGGUGAGGUAAAGGCUCACCAAGGCGACGAUCUGUAGCGGGUCUGAGAGGAUGAUCCGCCACACUGGAACUGAGACACGGUCCAGACUCCUACGGGAGGCAGCAGUGGGGAAUUUUGGACAAUGGGGGCAACCCUGAUCCAGCCAUGCCGCGUGAGUGAAGAAGGCCUUCGGGUUGUAAAGCUCUUUCAGCCGGGAAGAAAACGCAUGGGUUAAUACCCUGUGUGGAUGACGGUACCG